rnacentral:rRNA from 1 species
CCUACGGGAGGCAGCAGUGGGGAAUAUUGCACAAUGGGGGCAACCCUGAUGCAGCGACGCCGCGUGAGUGAAGAAGUAUUUCGGUAUGUAAAGCACUAUCAGCAGGGAAGAAGAAAGCCGGUAUCUGACUAUGAAGCAUCGGCUAACUACGUGCCAGCAGCCGCGGUAAUACGUAGGGGGCAAGCGUGAUCCGGAUUUACUGGGUGUAAAGGGAGCGUAGACGGCUGUGCAAGUCUGAAGUGAAAGCCCAGGGCUCAACCCUGGAACUGCUUUUGAAACUGUGUAGCUAGAGUGCUGGAGAGGGAAGUGGAAUUCCGAGUGUAGCGGUGAAAUGCGUAGAGAUUAGGAGGAACACCAGUGGCGAAGGCGGCUUACUGGACAAUGACUGACGUUGAGGUUCGAAAGCGUGGGGAGCAAACAGGAUUAGAUACCCGGGUAGUC